rnacentral:rRNA from 1 species
UACGAAGGGGGCUAGCGUUGUUCGGAUUUACUGGGCGUAAAGGGCGCGUAGGCGGCCACCGCAAGUCGGUUGUGAAAUCUCUGGGCUUAACCCAGAAAGGUCAACCGAUACUGCGGGGCUAGAGUGCAGAAGGGGCAACUGGAAUUCUCGGUGUAGCGGUGAAAUGCGUAGAUAUCAGGAGGAACACCUAUAGCGAAGGCAGCUUGCUGGGACGGUACUGACGCUAAGGCGCGAAAGCGUGGGGAGCGAACAGG